rnacentral:tRNA from 1 species
UGCCUCGUGGGCAAGUGGUAAGCCAGGUGGCUCUGAACCACCGAUGCCAAGGUUCGAAUCCUUGCGAGGCAGCCA